CCCGCCACGGCCUGUUCCUCCCGCCGGGCAGCGCGGCCCUGGCUGCGCUCCCGUCCGAGCGGCACCGGCGACAGCCUGUUUUUGACAGCUCUGCAUAAGCACAGUUAUUUCUAGCACAGUUUCCCUGAGCUGUGCCAACAGGCUUUUUUUUUUUCCUUUUUUUUUUUUUAACAAAUAUAUUUUCAGCCCCCAUCUAGCCCAAGAGUGCUAUAUUCUCCACCUAGGCACGGGUGUAGUGUUACAGGCCCUGGAUGAGGCUGUGGGCAGGAGGAAGGAUGACCUGAGUUCUUGUAAAGCACUUCUACCAUAAUCUCUGGGGCUUUGCCCUCUGACCUGGGCUUAACCACGCGUGGUGAGAACACAGACAGAGCUCCAGCCACUUUGGCCCUGCUGCUUUUCUGUCUCCUCGUACAAAGCACCACUUUGCUCCCCAGGUAGUGCCAUGGUGGGAGCACAUGCUGUGUCUGAGGGAGAUGUUUGCUGAGCAGGACUUGUCGAGCCUGUCCCCCUCUCAUCAAACCACCACAACUCACAGCAGUGCCCUGGCAAGGCUGGAUUGAGCUGAAAGGAAAGAAAUGAAGCUCUUUGAGCAGCUGACUGUGCUUGCCUUUCCCAGUUGCCAUCCCUGUCCCAAACUCCUUGACUGCCACAGAUCUGGGCUCCAGGGCUGCAGCUCUGCUUGUGGCCUUGGGUAUUGUUACUGCUAAGCCUGACUAAUCACCCCCUGACAGCACCAGAAAUCUGCUGGGGAAGGAGCUCCAAGGUGGGAAUGGCAGAACCCAGAUCCUCUCCUCAGGAAGCCCUUGGGGGAGCCGUGCUCUUUCCACUCCAGCCAGGACCAUGCUCUCCAAGCCUGCUGCCCACUCCCAAAGAAGCCAGCUCCUGCCCAAGCCUGUGUGUCUCAUCCCAUUAAUAAAUGCCUUCUGAAGGGCACAAAACA